ensembl:lncRNA
CCCAGAGCUCUCUGCCUCCACCAUGUGAUGACACAGUGAGAAGAUAACUGUCUGCAAACACAGGAAAGAGCCCUCACCAGGAAUAAAAUCAGUCGGCACCUUGAUCUUAGACUUCCCGGCCUCCAGAACUUCAUUCAAGCAAAUGGACAGUCAUCUUCACUUGCCUGUUGACAGUCUACAACUGAACUUCUGAAUUCCACCCUCCUCCCCAUUGUUUCCUCUCUCAUUAAAUGACAGCUUCUUCUGUACUGUCCACACAGUAGCCACUUGACAAAUGAAGCAAGCAAGCACCUGAAAUGUCACUAUCAGAACUGAGACAUGUUCUUAUAUGCUCAAAUAGUGAAGAAUCUGCCUGCAAUGAAGGAGACCUGGGUUCAAUCCCUAGGUUGGGAAGAUGCCCUGGAAAAGGGAGUGACAACCCACUCCAGAAUUCUUG